AUUGAACGCUGGCGGAAUGCUUUACACAUGCAAGUCGAACGGCAGCACGGGGGCAGCCCUGGUGGCGAGUGGCGAACGGGUGAGUAAUACAUCGGAACGUGCCCGGUCGUGGGGGAUAACGUAGCGAAAGUUACGCUAAUACCGCAUACGAUCUGAGGAUGAAAGCGGGGGACCUUGGGGCCUCGCGCGAUCGGAGCGGCCGAUGUCAGAUUAGGUAGUUGGUGGGGUAAAGGCCUACCAAGCCGACGAUCUGUAGCUGGUCUGAGAGGACGACCAGCCACACUGGGACUGAGACACGGCCCAGACUCCUACGGGAGGCAGCAGUGGGGAAUUUUGGACAAUGGGCGCAAGCCUGAUCCAGCCAUUCCGCGUGCAGGACGAAGGCCUUCGGGUUGUAAACUGCUUUUGUACGGAACGAAAAGGCUCUGGCUAAUACCUGGGGCUCAUGACGGUACCGUAAGAAUAAGCACCGGCUAACUACGUG
rnacentral:rRNA from 1 species